AGUGAACGCUGGCGGUAGGCCUAACACAUGCAAGUCGAACGGCAGCACAGGAGAGCUUGCUCUCUGGGUGGCGAGUGGCGGACGUGUGAGGAAUACAUCGGAAUCUGCCCAGUCGUGGGGGAUAACGUAGGGAAACUUACGCUAAUACCGCAUACGACCUUCGGGUGAAAGAGGGGGAUCGCAAGACCUCUCGCGAUUGGAUGAGCCGAUGUCGGAUUAGCUAGUUGGCGGGGUAAUGGCCCACCAAGGCGACGAUCCGUAGCUGGUCUGAGAGGAUGAUCAGCCACACUGGAACUGAGACACGGUCCAGACUCCUACGGGAGGCAGCAGUGGGGAAUAUUGGACAAUGGGCGCAAGCCUGAUCCAGCCAUACCGCGUGGGUGAAGAAGGCCUUCGGGUUGUAAAGCCCUUUUGUUGGGAAAGAAAUCUUUCAGGCUAAUACCCUGGGAGGAUGACGGUACCCAAAGAAUAAGCACCGGCUAACUUCGUG
rnacentral:rRNA from 1 species